GACGAACGCUGGCGGCGUGCUUAACACAUGCAAGUCGAACGGAAAGGCCCUGCUUUUGUGGGGUGCUCGAGUGGCGAACGGGUGAGUAACACGUGAGUAACCUGCCCUUGACUUUGGGAUAACUUCAGGAAACUGGGGCUAAUACCGGAUAGGAGCUCCUGCUGCAUGGUGGGGGUUGGAAAGUUUCGGCGGUUGGGGAUGGACUCGCGGCUUAUCAGCUUGUUGGUGGGGUAGUGGCUUACCAAGGCUUUGACGGGUAGCCGGCCUGAGAGGGUGACCGGCGACAUUGGGACUGAGGUACGGCCCAGACUCCUACAGGAGACAGCAGUGGGGAAUAUUGCACAGUGAGCGGAAGCCUGAUGCAGCAGCGCCGCGUGCGGGAUGACGGCCUUCGGGUUGUAAACCGCUUUCGCCUGUGACGAAGCGUGAGUGACGGUAAUGGGUAAAGAAGCACCGGCUAACUACGUG
rnacentral:rRNA from 1 species